GACGUAGGGUGCGAGCGUUGUCCGGAUUUAUUGGGCGUAAAGAGCUCGUAGGCGGCUUGUCGCGUCGGCUGUGAAAUCCCGCGGCUCAACUGUGGGCGGGCAGCUGAUACGGGCAGGCUGGAGUUCGGUAGGGGAGACUGGAAUUCCUGGUGUAGCGGUGAAAUGCGCAGAUAUCAGGAAGAACACCCGUGGCGAAGGCGGUUCUCUAGUACGGUACUGACGCUGAGACGCGAAAGCGUGGGGAGCGAACAGG
rnacentral:rRNA from 1 species